rnacentral:rRNA from 1 species
UACAGAGGGGGCAAGCGUUGUUCGGAAUUACUGGGCGUAAAGGGCGCGUAGGCGGCCUUCUAAGUCGAACGUGAAAUCCCCCGGGCUCAACCCGGGAACUGCGUCCGAUACUGGAAGGCUUGAAUCCGGGGAGAGGGAUGCGGAAUUCCAGGUGUAGCGGUGAAAUGCGUAGAUAUCUGGAGGAACACCGGUGGCGAAGG